GUGGGAUCUCUUUCUGGGAUGGUGAGGAAAUGUGGGGUGGCCCAAGAUAGAGAAGGAACAAGGCUGUGGCCCGUGGCUCAGGCUGAGGAGCAAUGAAGAAGAGUGGCAAGUGCUAGUUGGAAAAAGCCUCUCCAGACCAGGACUUAAUGAGCCCACCAGCCAACAAAACACGGUUGCAAGUAAAAGGCAUGGCACUGGAAAGAGGCUCUUGGCAUGUAAGGACAAAAAGGAAGUAGGAGUCAAGGAAAAAGAGUCACAGAAUGGGCCACUGUAAUUAGUAAUUCCUUUAAUUUUUUUAUGUAAAUUCAAUUUGUCAACACAUGGUAUAACAUCCAGUGCUCAUCCCAUCAAGUGCCCUCCUCAGUGUCCGUCACCCAGUCACCCAUCCCCUCACUCACCUCCCCUUCUGCAUCCCUUUGUUUGUUUCCUAGGGUUAGGAGUCUUUCAUGGUUUAGAAAACACCAUUUGUAAAGAGGGGUAUGAAGCACAGAGCCUCAUUCUUAAACUGCUAGCCUGGAGAAAAACACAAAAAUCACAAUCUUUAAAAACCCCCUUGAAGUCACUGAGGAGCACAAGCAAGUUCUGAUGAGUCUCCCAAGUUCCAGAAAGGUUGAAGCUACAUGGUGACCAAACAGAAAGUAGAGCCCAGGCCUGACUCUCCAGCAGAACUUCCACUAUUAAGAGUCACGUGAACCAUACUGGUUUAGUACUGACCAGAUUACUCACCUGUUUGGCGCUGGGGGACGGAGGAGAGAGGCACUUCAUCUAUGUAGUCCAAAGGUGUUAAAAAAAUAUUCCUAUCAUAUAAGGAUUUCUUAAAGCAAUUUAAGUGAAGAAUUCUCUUGCUGGAGGGUGGAAAUGCUCAUCGUGUGUGUUCCCUGAUCGCUUUACAAUCAUAGAUGCAACUGUGUUGACCUCCUUAACUACAUGGUAUUUAGUUUAACCUGAACAUAAGAAUAUGUCUGGUUCUUUCCUCCUAUUCACCAACUUUAUCUCUCAACAAUGUGUAGUAAAGAAACUUCUGCAAAUAAAUGUUACCUCUACUUUU